rnacentral:rRNA from 1 species
AUCAACUUUCGAUGGUAGGAUAGAGGCCUACCAUGGUAGUAACGGGUAACGGGGUGUUAGGGCACGACACCGGAGAGGGAGCCUGAGAAACGGCUACCACAUCCAGGAUGGCAGCAGGCGCGCAAAUUACCCAAUCCCGACACGGGGAGGUAGUGACAAUAAAUAACAAUACGGGGUUCUUUCGGAUCUCGUAAUUGGAAUGAGUACAAUUUAAAUCUCUUAACGAGGAACAAUUGGAGGGCAAGUCUGGUGCCAGCAGCCGCGGUAAUUCCAGCUCCAAUAGCGUAUAUUAAAGUUGUUGCAGUUAAAAAGCUCGUAGUUGAAUUUCGGGAUCAAUUUAUUGGUCGUGCCAACGGUACGCACUGGUACAAUUGGUUUCUCCCUUCUGACGAAGCAUGAUGUCAUUAACUUGGUGUCGUGGGGAAUCAGGACUGUUACUUUGAAAAAAUUAGAGUGUUUAAAGCAGGCUUUGGCUUGAAUACAUUAGCAUGGAAUAAUGAAAUAGGACGUUUGACCCUAUUUUGUUGGUUUCUAGGAUCGACGUAAUGAUUAAUAGGGAUAGUUGGGGGCAUUAGUAUUCAAUUGUCAGAGGUGAAAUUCUUGGAUUUAUUGAAGACUAACUACUGCGAAAGCAUUUGCCAAGGAUGUUUUCAUUAAUCAAGAACGAAAGUUAGGGGAUCGAAGACGAUCAGAUACCGUCGUAGUCUUAACCAUAAACUAUGCCGACUAGGGAUCGGAUGAUAAUUUUUUAAUGAAUCAUUCGGCGCCUUACGGGAAACCAAAGUGUUUGGGUCC